rnacentral:rRNA from 1 species
UACGUAGGGGGCAAGCGUUGUCCGGAAUUAUUGGGCGUAAAGAGCGUGUGGGCGGUCCGGUAAGUCAGCUGUGAAAGUCAAGGGCUCAACCCUUGAAAGCCGGUUGAUACUGUCGGGCUAGAGUCCGGAAGAGGCGAGUGGAAUUCCCGGUGUAGCGGUGAAAUGCGCAGAUAUCGGGAGGAACACCAAUGGCGAAGGCAGCUCGCUGGGACGGUACUGACGCUGAGACGCGAAAGCGUGGGGAGCAAACAGG